AUUGAACGCUGGCGGCAGGCCUAACACAUGCAAGUCGAGCGAGCGGCGGACGGGUGAGUAAUGUCUGGGAAACUGCCUGAUGGAGGGGGAUAACUACUGGAAACGGUAGCUAAUACCGCAUACCAUCAGAUGUGCCCCGAUGGGAUUAGCUCGUAGGUGGGGUAACGGCUCACCGAGGCGACGAUCCCUAGCUGGUCUGAGAGGAUGACCAGCCACACGUGAACUGAGACACGGUCCAGACUCCUACGGGAGGCAGCAGUGGGGAAUAUUGCACAAUGGGCGCAAGCCUGAUGCAGCCAUGCCGCGUGUGUGAAGAAGGCCUUCGGGUUGUAAAGCACGUUCAGCGGGGAGGCGUUACCCGAAGAAGAAGCACCGGCUAACUCCGUGCCAGCAGCCGCGGUAAUAG
rnacentral:rRNA from 1 species